AUCGGGAGUCCUCGGACAAUUCCGCCAUAACGGCGAUCGUCUGUGGUGUAGCCCACUGUCCGAUGCGUUCAGAUUGGAUCAAGAGUGGAGAACUACGUCGUGCUUCACCGGCUAUAUCCGGACUCCUCCGUAAGCAAUAAAUCGUCUGCUGAUCAAGAGUGGAGAACUACGUCGUGAUUCCGAAGAUGCCCAAGCCAAUCUCGCGUUCGCUCUGAAAUCAGUGACGACGCAGCGUCCGGUGAAAUGUCUACGUCUACGUUUGAAAACGAUUGACUGACAUAAACAAAAUGGUCUUUCAGUUCUAGAAAUUCUCAAAAUUGCAAUACAUAUACCAAGUACAUGCUCAUGUACAUUGGACAUGUGACAAUGUAAUUAAUAAAUUAUAAACAAUA